AGGCAUACCAAAAACAACAUACGCAUCAUAUAACUGAAUGAGAUGAUGAUACCCGCUGGUUAAGAACACAAAUUUUCAGCUCCAUAAGAGGGAUUAUAUGAUUAGAUGAGAAAUCGUACAUGGUAUUUCUCAACUGUCAGAUAUAAGAAGAUUGAUCAGUCAUCCUUAUUGAGAAAGAAACCAAACUACUUUUCAUUUGAUGCACUCCCUCAGCAUGUGUCCACAAGUUAGAGCAUUUCCCUUGUUAUCAUAGCUGCCACAGUGCAUAUUGUCAAACAACACUGACAUAACAAGACAUGACCAAAAUGUAUCCACAGGAAAGCAAUUUUUGUAUAAUAGCUAAAAAUAGGAGAAAGGAAGACAAACUCAAG
rnacentral:lncRNA from 1 species